rnacentral:rRNA from 1 species
UACGACUACAUAUCAGGCAUAUCAAUAAGCGGAGGAAAAGAAACUAACAAGGAUUCCCUUAGUAACGGCGAGUGAAGCGGGAAGAGCUCAAAUUUGAAAUCUUCAAGGUUCUACCUUGACGAAUUGUAGUUUAAAGAAGUGUUUUCUGUUAGAGGAGUAGCAAAAGUUCCUUGGAAUAGGACAUCAUAGAGGGUGAGAAUCCCGUAUUUGGUUAUUCUUUUUAGCUUUGUGAUACACUUUCAAAGAGUCGGAUUGUUUGGGAAUGCAGUCCAAAAUGGGUGGUAAAUUUCAUCUAAAGCUAAAUAUUGGCGAGAGACCGAUAGCGAACAAGUACCGUGAGGGAAAGAUGAAAAGAACUUUGAAAAGAGAGUUAAACAGUACGUGAAAUUGUCAAAAGGGAAGCGUUUGACACCAGUGUUGUUUAGUUGAAAAUCAAUUCAAUAGUUUUUGAUUCUAAGUAGUAUUGACUUCAUCAGCUUGCUGCUUUCUUCUCAGAAAUUAUUGAAUGCACUUUUCAGUUAACAAGUCAACAUCAAUUUCUUUUGUUGUAAAAGGGUAAGAGGAAGGUGGCUUGCGCUUCGGCUCAAGUGUUUAUAGCCUUUUAUCUCUGCAAUCGGAGAGAUUGAGGUCUGCAGCGUAGAUCCUUCGGGGUUAGAUACAUUGGUGCUAAGCUAUAGCCUUGUAUAGACAACUUGUUGACUAUGCUCAGUCAUGUAGCUUACUCGCUGAUGCUAUUUUACCUACGCUUAGGAUGUUGAUCUACAGAGCGAGAGU